rnacentral:rRNA from 1 species
GACGAACGCUGGCGGCGUGCCUAAUACAUGCAAGUAGAACGCUGAAGGAGGAGCUUGCUUCUCCGGAUGAGUUGCGAACGGGUGAGUAACGCGUAGGUAACCUGCCUGGUAGCGGGGGAUAACUAUUGGAAACGAUAGCUAAUACCGCAUAAGAGUAGAUGUUGCAUGACAUUUGCUUAAAAGGUGCAAUUGCAUCACUACCAGAUGGACCUGCGUUGUAUUAGCUAGUUGGUGGGGUAACGGCUCACCAAGGCGACGAUACAUAGCCGACCUGAGAGGGUGAUCGGCCACACUGGGACUGAGACACGGCCCAGACUCCUACGGGAGGCAGCAGGAGGGAAUCUUCGGCAAUGGACGGAAGGCUGACCGAGCAACGCCGCGUGAGGGAAGAAGGUUUUCGGAUCGUAAAGCUCUGUUGUAAGAGAAGAAAGAGUGUGAGAGUGGAAAGUUCACACUGUGACGGUAUCUUAACAGAAAGGGACGGCUAACUACGUG